rnacentral:rRNA from 1 species
CAGCAGCCGCGGGAAUACGUAGGGUGCAAGCGUUGAUCGGAAUUACUGGGCGUAAAGCGUGCGCAGGCGGUUAUGCAAGACAGAUGUGAAAUCCCCGGGCUCAACCUGGGAACUGCAUUUGUGACUGCAUGACUAGAGUAUGGCAGAGGGGGAUGGAAUUCCGCGUGUAGCAGUGAAAUGCGUAGAUAUGCGGAGGAACACCGAUGGCGAAGGCAAUCCCCUGGGCCUGUACUGACGCUCAUGCACGAAAGCGUGGGGAGCAGACAGGAUUAGAUACCCCCGUAGUCCCUGUCUCUUAUAA